CAACUUCAAGAGAAAAAAAACACGAUUAUUCAUGAGUAUAUAAAAAUAUUAACCUUGAAAUUAGCAUCCAGCACCAUUGGCACUUAAAUAAAGGCCAUUGUGAACUUAAUCUAACCUAACUAAAGCCGCUAAGAACAGAGAGAGAGAGAGAGAGAGAGAGAGAGAGAGAGAGAGAGAGAGAGAGAGAGAGAGAGAGAGAGAGAGAGAAGCAAGGCAGUGUUUGUGAGGCUAUAGAACACAGUAGUAGUAGAUGAAGGAAGAUAGAGGAAGUAGAUAAAGCUGAGAGAGAGAGAGAGAGAGAGAGAGAGAGAGAGUACCCAUCUAGUCUAAUUCCCACACACAACACACCUCUUCCUACUAAUCAUUUAUGAAGUUGUAAUUGACACAGUUAUCAAUAAACACUCCUGCAUUUA